GACGAACGCUGGCGGCGUGCUUAACACAUGCAAGUCGAACGGGCCCGCCCCUGUUUUUGGGGGUGGGUUGAGUGGCGAACGGGUGAGUAUCACGUGAGUAACCUGCCCCCUGCUCCUGGAUAACUGCUUGAAAGGGCGGCUAAUACGGGGUGUGCCGGCUGGUCCGCAUGGGCCUGGUCGGGAUAGUUUCAUCUUCGGGUGUUUCGGUGGGGGAUGGGCUCGCGGCCUGUCAGCUUGUUGGUGGGGGGAUGGCCCACCAAGGCGGUGACGGGUGGCCGGCCUGAGAGGGUGGGCGGCCACGCUGGGACUGGGACACGGCCCAGCCUCCUGCGGGAGGCAGCAGUGGGGGGUAUUGCACGAUGGGCGGAAGCCUGAUGCAGCGACGUCGCGUGAGGGAUGGAGGCCUUCGGGUUGUGAACCUCUUUCUCCGGUGGUGAAGGCCCUGUCCGUUGCGGCGGGGUUGACGGUAGCCGGGUAUGAAGCGCCGGCUAACUACGUG
rnacentral:rRNA from 1 species